rnacentral:tRNA from 1 species
GGAAUUUUAGUUUAAUAAAGAACAUGUAGUUUGCAAUUACAAAGAGGGAUAGUAUACCAAACUCCA